rnacentral:rRNA from 1 species
UAGGGAAUCUUCCACAAUGGGCGCAAGCCUGAUGGAGCAACACCGCGUGAGUGAAGAAGGGUUCCGGCUCGUAAAGCUCUGUUGUUAAAGAAGAACACGUAUGAGAGUAACUGUUCAUACGUUGACGGUAUUUAACCAGAAAGCCACGGCUAACUACGUGCAAG